rnacentral:rRNA from 1 species
GUAGGGAGGAAGGUGGUAGUGUUAAUAGCGCUAUCAUUUGACGUUACCUACAGAAGAAGCACCGGCUAACUCCGUGCCAGCAGCCGCGGUAAUACGGAGGGUGCGAGCGUUAAUCGGAAUUACUGGGCGUAAAGCGCAUGCAGGUGGUUUGUUAAGUCAGAUGUGAAAGCCCCGGGCUCAACCUGGGAAUUGCAUUUGAAACUGGCAAACUAGAGUACUGUAGAGGGGGGUAGAAUUUCAGGUGUAGCGGUGAAAUGCGUAGAGAUCUGAAGGAAUACCGGUGGCGAAGGCGGCCCCCUGGACAGAUACUGACACUCAGAUGCGAAAGCGUGGGGAGCAAACAGGAUUAGAUACCCUGGUAGUCCACGCCGUAAACGAUGUCUACUUGGAGGUUGUGGCCUUGAGCCGUGGCUUUCGGAGCUAACGCGUUAAGUAGACCGCCUGGGGAGUACGGUCGCAAGAUUAAAACUCAAAUGAAUUGACGGGGGCCCGCACAAGCGGUGGAGCAUGUGGUUUAAUUAGAUGCAACGCGAAGAACCUUACCUACUCUUGACAU